CAGCCGCCGCGGUAAUACGAGGGGAGCUAGCGUUAUUCGGAAUUACUGGGCGUAAAGCGCACGUAGGCGGCUUUGUAAGUUAGAGGUGAAAGCCCAGAGCUCAACUCUGGAAUUGCCUUUAAGACUGCAUCGCUUGAAUCCAGGAGAGGUGAGUGGAAUUCCGAGUGUAGAGGUGAAAUUCGUAGAUAUUCGGAAGAACACCAGUGGCGAAGGCGGCUCACUGGACUGGUAUUGACGCUGAGGUGCGAAAGCGUGGGGAGCAAACAGGAUUAGAUACCCCCGUAGUCCCUGUCUCUUAUAC
rnacentral:rRNA from 1 species